GAUGAACGCUGGCGGCGUGCCUAAUACAUGCAAGUCGAGCGAACAGACGAGGAGCUUGCUCCUCUGACGUUAGCGGCGGACGGGUGAGUAACACGUGGAUAACCUACCUAUAAGACUGGGAUAACUUCGGGAAACCGGAGCUAAUACCGGAUAAUAUAUUGAACCGCAUGGUUCAAUAGUGAAAGACGGUUUUGCUGUCACUUAUAGAUGGAUCCGCGCCGUAUUAGCUAGUUGGUAAGGUAACGGCUUACCAAGGCGACGAUGCGUAGCCGACCUGAGAGGGUGAUCGGCCACACUGGAACUGAGACACGGUCCAGACUCCUACGGGAGGCAGCAGUAGGGAAUCUUCCGCAAUGGGCGAAAGCCUGACGGAGCAACGCCGCGUGAGUGAUGAAGGUCUUCGGAUCGUAAAACUCUGUUAUUAGGGAAGAACAAAUGUGUAAGUAACUAUGCACGUCUUGACGGUAUCUAAUCAGAAAGCCACGGCUAACUACGUG
rnacentral:rRNA from 1 species